GUCAUCAAUCAGGUUUUUAUGGCAAACAUAAACAUUUUUUCUCAAUAUUCCAGUAACAAUUUUGAGCAUUUAUCCCAAUUACGGUACUUUAAUUUAUUUUUUUCCUGUGUACUUAUGCAACGAAUGCAAUGAUCAUCAUAUAAAAGCUGACUGACAAAUUCAUAUUGACAUAUUUGUUAUCAAUACGAGGAUUAGUCCACAAGAAAUCUUAACGCUAGUCGUGCUAGUGCUCAAGACGUCCCGAUGAAUCAACUGAGAAACGUUUCUGCUUUGAUGUCGUCAAUGAACGCCGGUCAUCAGUGAGGCGAUCAAAACAGAAACAAAUUUGGUUUCUCUGUGACAUGACCUUUCAAGCAUCAUUCAAAACCAAAAAGGAAAAGUAAAGGUUUAUCAGAUACGAUUGAUCAAGUUGAAAGUGAAGUUCUUGGUGUCCGAUGCUUCAGCUGAUGUAUCGAUCAGCCCGCGAUAUGUUGAUAUUCGCACGACUGCCAGUGCAGUAAAAACCUACUUCCGGUAUGCAUAUAUUAAUGUUUAGCUGUGGUUGCUUUUUUUCUGUUGCCAAACAUUGCGACCUUUUGAAAGCAUAAAGCCUUUCUCUCCGCUG